CAGUCGCCGCGGUAAUACGGAGGGAGCUAGCGUUGUUCGGAAUUAUUGGGCGUAAAGGGCUCGCAGGCGGUUUCUUAAGUCUGAUGUGAAAGCCCCCGGCUCAACCGGGGAGGGUCAUUGGAAACUGGGAAACUUGAGUGCAGAAGAGGAGAGUGGAAUUCCACGUGUAGCGGUGAAAUGCGUAGAGAUGUGGAGGAACACCAGUGGCGAAGGCGACUCUCUGGUCUGUAACUGACGCUGAGGAGCGAAAGCGUGGGGAGCGAACAGGAUUAGAUACCCGUGUAGUCCCUGUCUCUUAUAC
rnacentral:rRNA from 1 species